GUAUACAUUGGUGAUCUGGAGGAGUUACAUCUGUCACUCCAUUUUCUCAAGGUUGAUUUAGCUAAUCUAGCUGUCUAUGUGGGUGUCACCUUCCUCCCUCACUGUUCCAUGUACAUCCUUCCUGAAGCUGUGCAUGUGUUUAAAGAGCAGAACUUCUCUGAUAGAGGAGGACCAUUCUUUGGUCAAGGUUGUAUGAGUAGCUGUCCAUUCCUCCUGUUAGAACCCCUAAAUAAGCAGUCGAAAGUGAGAAAAUGAGAUAUUGUUGGAUAGAAUGUAGUCACUUCUAGAUCCAGCU
rnacentral:snRNA from 1 species